GCCUGCUCCGCCGCCGCCUCUCCGCCCCGCCGCCGCCUCUCGGCCGCCGCCGCCGCCGGGCAGGAGUGAGCAGCUACACACUUAAGAGCCCAGGACCCGGGAAAGGAUCCAGGAAGUUCAUAAUUUCCACGUGUUUCUGGCCUCAAGGAAGACAGAAAACAUUGUGUCAUUCCACGCUCCCUUCCAAGACUUGAUAUGGGAAUUGUCUCAUAUGACUAUGAAGGCCAAGAAUCCCACUACCUGCCUUUGCAAGCUAGAGAACCGGAGAAGUGCAACAUGUAAUUCAGGGACUAUUUCUCCUCUGUGAUGACUGUCUACAAUGAGACCCCUCCUUGGAGCCAGCUGACUAUGGCCUAAAACUUCUACAAACUACAGCCAUAAUGACAGAAGAGGAGCGACAGCAUGAAUAUACAACUUCAUGAAUCAGAAUCAACAGUGGCUUGCAUCAAUAUCAGUGAAAGUUAUUAUCCCUUGUAGCCCAUGGCCAUGACAUACACAAGAAGAGGAGGCGCUGGGGUCCCACAUCCUUUCUAGAGCACGCCAUCAAUGUGCAGAAGACCCCCCUACACCGACCUGGUCUCAUCACUGUAGGGUUCCAGCUCUUCCCAAUAGUGCCAAGCUAGAGAUCAACCCUGAUAUGUAUGCCUUUGAGGGACAUUUAUUACUCCUGCUUUUUUUUCUAGUUAAUUCUUUUAUAAAACACAGAUUUGUAAAGGGUGGCAAGAACAAAGGGAAAGAGACUUCUCUCUAUGGUCAGCAAAAUUGGUGAUGUAGGAUUCGAUCAUUCAGAAGUCUUUAACUCUACCGUGGUCAUUACAACUACUGUGGUCUCAAUUCUUCUCUAUCUUGCAUUACAAAUAAAAUAAACAUCUCUAAGUUCUUCUAUGUCAUUCCUUGAUAAGGUUUUAUUGAUUACUACUUUUCCC
rnacentral:lncRNA from 1 species